UUCUGGAUUAUCAGCAGGAGACCCUGAGCAUCUGCUCACAGUUCGUUCUGAACUAUUCUGCAUUUUCCUGUAACUUUGCUCUUCCCGGAGGCUGCUGAGAGUGCAAAGAGACAACUCAUGUUUGAACGACAGAAUAUUGAAAAGAUGUUUUCCAACUACCUGGAUAGUCAGGAAUGGUGAUUUAUUGGAAAAGAAAAAAGAUAUCUACUGGCCAGAUAUCCAGUCCCAAGGCCUAUCAUUACUUGCCAACUAUUGCUGGAGCACUUACAGACCUAUUGUUCAUAUUCAUAUUAACAUCGGUAUGCUUUUCAUAUGGUACAUUCUGAAAUGUCUAGAGCACUAAGCUAAUUUCAUGGGAUCACUUUUAGUUUAUGAGGCAUGGGAGAGAGAUAUUUGUAUAAACUCUGACAGAAGAUUUCCUGUGGAAAAGAGACAGAGGGAGCAUUACUUGGUUGAACAUGCUUAAUCACUCAGCAACUUUUUGAUAUUGUUAACCACAAUACCAACUUCCUGGAGGUUAUGCAUUUCCUGGUCAUAACAAUGUAAUAGAUGAAAAUGAAUCUUGGAAGAUGAAUCAGGU